rnacentral:rRNA from 1 species
UACGGAGGGGGCGAGUGUUGUUCGGAAUUACUGGGCGUAAAGGGCGCGCAGGCGGCCUGGCAAGUCGAGUGUGAAAUCCCUUGGCUUAACUGAGGAAUGGCGCUCGAAACUACCUCGCUGGAGGGCGGGAGAGGGAAGUGGAAGCUCUCGGUGUAGGGGUGAAAUCUGUAGAUAUCGAGAGGAACACCGGUGGCGAAGGCGGCUUCCUGGCCCGUACCUGACGCUGAGGAGCGAAAGCGUGGGGAGCGAACAGG